ensembl:lncRNA
GGCGGCGGUCCGCGGGUGACAUGCAGUCCCUCAUCUCUCCGGUGACCAAGGCUAUCCUGGUGGCUUUGUUCAUCUUCGCCAUCCUGCUGAUCCUCUACGUGAUUCUGUGGUACAUCUGCCGCGAUGUGGAUUGCGACCAUGGGAUCUGAGCGGCGCCGCGGGGCCAGGGCUUAGGAGCCGGGAUUCACCCCGCGGGGCCGGGAGCGGCAGCGGGAGCCCCUCCGGGCGGCAGCCGCCGCCACCGCGGCCGAGCAGGGGAAGAGAAGGGGAAGGAAAGAAAAGAAGAAAAAAAGAAAAAAAAAAAAAAAAAAAGAAAGCGAGCGAGGGACCGAGCCGAAAGAGCCCGGAGGACAACUGCGAUCAAGAAACCAACCUGAGCUUGACCUUCAGAGACCAGGGUGACCCGGCUUAAAAUGAGCAUUGAAGAUGAUUCCUGCACAGGAGUGUCUCUGCAGAGAUGAAAGGUUAGCCGAGGUCCAGGGAUGGACAGUGCUGCAUCCUCGAGAUGUCCUUGUGUCAAACAAGUGCUCAGCUGUACUUUUUCCCCUCCAGGAUUUUCACCUGUGUGAAGCAAUCAUUGGUGGAGUCCAGAAACUGCAUCUGUAAACUCAGUCUCAUGACAUUUGGGCAGCUUGUGUACCAGCAACUGAAGCUCUCCAUCGUGGGGUACUGUGCAACUUCACUUUCUUGGAUGAGCUGUGCAAAGCACCA